rnacentral:lncRNA from 1 species
CGUCCCUUUCCUUUUCGGCGGAUAAGAAAAUGACAGGUAUAACUUAAAAUAAAAUUAGAUGGUGUGUAUAGGAAUUAGCACCAUUAUAAAUGUAGUCAUACAUGUAAGGUUUUAAAUUUAUGAAUUCUCUACCAAAUCCGAAUUUCGACUGAUAUCGACUGCCAGGCCAGUUUUUUGAAUCUAAAUGUUGUAAUUACAGAAUUAUAUUGAAUACAUUUGGGAGUAUAAGGCAUCGAAAAAGUUUUUUUUAUUUUUUUUCCGUUCAAAGUCGGUUACGACUGAGUCUUGAAAAUUUUUGCUCAACGUGAGUUAUUAGCGACGAUUACUUUUUUUUUCAUCAGUAUUGUGAAAUUACAUCGAAUAUAACAUUGCACAUAGCUCAGGCGUUGAAGGAAAACAUCGUAAGGAAACCCACAUACGCAAGAAAUGUGCUUUCGGAGGUAUGUGACUUAACCUGUCGAGAGUUUCCCUUUAGGUUCGUAGGUCACACAGGCGACUGCUUCUGUAACGAAACUGGUUCGUUAAAUCUUCAGGUUAGGUGGGCGAAAACCAUGAAGAACGGGAGAUGAUGAUAAUGCUUUACUGUGUUUACAUUCCCAAAGUAACGGCCUCUGUGGUCCAGUGGUUGAACGGUGUGCUUACGAUCCGGUGGGGACAAAUCACGAAAAUCAUCCACCUGAUUGUCUAAAAGUAAGAUGAUCUGUGCUUUGAAAAGUAAAGUAUAGCUUUGCAUUGUUAUGUUGAGAAGUUUGCUCAAAUAAAGCCAAAAGGAUAUUUAUAUUGCCGUCGUAAACAACCUUACACUUUCAAAUGUAUUAAUUUAAUCAUUAUAAGUAUAUUCGUGAAUUAAUUAGUAUAAAAUUCAGAUGUUUGUGUAUGAAAAUAGACAAUUUUUAGAUGUGAAAUCACGUUAUUAAAAUUAACGUUUUGUUGCGCAAAUAUAAGAACGAAGAUCAUUUGUCAUUUCACAUCUAAAAAUUUUUAGUCUAUCCCUUUUUAGAAUCUACAUGUGGAGUAUAUUGUUUAAAUAGAAAAAAAAAUAUUGAUGUUAUGUGUUUAAACAUAAAAUCGGUAAUUUAAUAAGUGUAAGUAUAUUAUUAUACGCGGCUGCCCAAUUUAAAAUAUGUUAUUUACUUUUGCAAAAGUCAACUGUAGUGACAGUCACCACCUGAAGUACGCAAGCGGUUAGACGGAUCCCCUCGGCAUAGAAUAAAGAAUAAUACUACGUAUAGAACGGAAACUCUCCGCUCCCCACCAGCGGCUGAGCUAGGUUUACCUCACCCCCUUUAGUCUUCAAUCGCAUGGGCAUCAGACGUCACACACACAGAUGCGCGUGUGCGAUAACUUCAUGUGUAGUGUCUGUGUAAAACGAGGCUUUUUGUAUGAAGUGUCCGGGGUGUGUUCGCGGCGCGCAAGUGACUAUUUGGCGGAACUAACUAGAAAUAAUGACAUUAAGCCGUUGGUCCCGGUUACUACUUACUGAUGUGGACGUAGUCGUUAUAUGAGUCAUGUCAGGGGCCUUUGGCGGCUCAAUAGUAACCCUGACACCAGGGUUAAUGAGGUUGGUAAUUCACCUCACAACCCACACGAUAGAGGAAGAAGAAGAUGACAUUAAGUAUUCACACCUCACCGAGCUUUCUGUUAGACCAACGUGAUAGGUAGUGAGCUGUAUCGCCGUCUAUAAUGGUCGAGCCAAAUGUGUUAGUGAAAAUUGCAUUUAUGAUAAAUUAAUAACUCGUUGGUGCAAGACAACAACAUAACAAUGACAAGAGAUAAUGUUCUUUACUUUUUUGGCUUCCUGCAACACCAUGGGCACAGACCCCUUGUCGAUCGGAGAGUAUUUGCCAAGGAUGAGAUAUCUCGAAAUAUUUUAUAUUAUUAAAAUUGGACAGCCGCAAAGUACCUACGCGUAAUAUUUUGAUUGUACAGAACAGGGGGUAAUAAAAAGGCCACAUUGUUGGAAUUCAGCUGAAAAAAAUAAUUCAACAAAAAAAAAAAACAACUUUCUUGAAAAGUAAUAUUGCAAUUUGAUUAUGCGGAUAUAAAAGUGAAAUAUUCCUUUUUUAGUGUAAAAUGUCAUAUAGCAAUAUUGCUUUUUUGUAUGAAUUGAUUCAAUGCGGCAAUUUUAACCCUCCAGUGGUCCAUUCCGUAUAGCUACAAAGGUUUUAUUUAACAAAUAAUAACUUUGCUUAAUUAUUCUAAUUACUUAUAUCUGGUCUAACGAUCUUUAUAUACUUAUUUUUAUUUUCUAUGGCUACCAUUUUGAAUUCUGAAUGAUGUUACUUGACAGCUGUCUAAACAACUCAUUUUCCUGAUUUUGUCUCUUUCGCACUAACACACCCCAUUAAUUCUAUACAUAAAUCUCAUUUUGACCGUGUCCCGCUUAACCUUAAGUAUUCGGUAGGCAGUAUACAGUCAUGAGAUUUUUAUAUGGAUUAUCCGGGCUGUGAUAGAAAUUCACUUUUAGAUAUACGAAAAGGACAAGGGGGGUUUAAAAAAGCCACAUGGAAGCAAUUCAUCUAAAAAGCAAUGUUGCUAUUUGAUAAUUCUUGACAUUGCGCACUUUUAUAUGCGCAAAUGUCAAGUUGCAAUAUUGCUUUUUAGAUGAAUUGCUUCUAUGUAGCCCUUUUAACCCCCCAGAUAGAUAUAGAUUGAAACAAACACAGUCACUUUUGGAAACGGGAGUAUUAUUUUUUUGUAAAUUGAAAUGAUAAUAAUACAAAUGUAGGUAGGUGCGAUUUGUGUUUUCAAAAGUGACUGCUUUUGUACGGAGAAAGUUAUUCUUGUACGGAAUACCAUUAGUCAUUGAUAUACUUAUUAUUUAGCAAAUAAAUCAGUGUAUUCACUUA